UACGUAGGGUGCGAGCGUUGUCCGGAAUUACUGGGCGUAAAGAGCUCGUAGGUGGUUUGUCGCGUUGUUCGUGAAAACCUGAGGCUUAACCUUGGGCGUGCGGGCGAUACGGGCAGACUGGAGUACUGCAGGGGAGACUGGAAUUCCUGGUGUAGCGGUGGAAUGCGCAGAUAUCAGGAGGAACACCGGUGGCGAAGGCGGGUCUCUGGGCAGUAACUGACGCUGAGGAGCGAAAGCAUGGGUAGCGAACAGG
rnacentral:rRNA from 1 species